rnacentral:rRNA from 1 species
UACGUAGGUGGCAAGCGUUGUCCGGAUUUAUUGGGUUUAAAGGGUGCGUAGGCGGCCUAUUAAGUCAGUGGUGAAAUAUCUCAGCUCAACUGAGAGUGUGCCAAUGAUACUGAUGGGCUUAGUACAGAUGAGGUAGGCGGAAUUGACGGUGUAGCGGUGAAAUGCUUAGAUAUCGUCAAGAACACCUAUGCGAAGGCAGCUUACUAGGCUG